rnacentral:rRNA from 1 species
GCAUAUCAAUAAGCGGAGGAAAAGAAACCAACAGGGAUUACCUCAGUAACGGCGAAGUGAAGCGGUAACAGCUCAAAUUUGAAAUCUGGCCCUUUUAGGGUCCGAGUUGUAAUUUGUAGAAGAUGCUUCGGGUGUGGCUCCGGUCUAAGUUCCUUGGAACAGGACGUCAUAGAGGGUGAGAAUCCCGUAUGUGACUGGUUGCCUUCGCCCAUGUGAAGCUCUUUCGACGAGUCGAGUUGUUUGGGAAUGCAGCUCUAAAUGGGAGGUAAAUUUCUUCUAAAGCUAAAUAUUGGCCAGAGACCGAUAGCGCACAAGUAGAGUGAUCGAAAGAUGAAAAGCACUUUGGAAAGAGAGUUAAACAGUACGUGAAAUUGUUGAAAGGGAAGCGCUUGCAACCAGACUUGCCUGCCGUCGAUCAUCCUCCGUUCUCGGUGGUGCACUCGGCGGUGGUCAGGCCAGCAUCGGUUUCGGUGGUGGGAUAAAGACCUUGGGAAUGUAGCUGCUCUCGGGCAGUGUUAUAGCCCUCGGUGCAAUGCCGCCUACCGGGACCGAGGACCGCGCUUCGGCUAGGAUGCUGGCGUAAUGGUUGUAAGCGACCCGUCUUGAAACACGGACCAAGGAGUCUAACAUCUAUGCGAGUGUUUGGGUGUUAAACCCAUACGCGGAAUGAAAGUGAACGGAGGUGAGAACCCUUUAGGGUGCAUCAUCGACCGAUCCUGAUGUCUUCGGAUGGAUUUGAGUAAGAGCAUAGCUGUUGGGACCCGAAAGAUGGUGAACUAUGCCUAAAUAGGGUGAAGCCAGAGGAAAACUCUGGUGGAGGCUCGCAGCGGUUUCUGACGUGCAAAUCGAUUCGUCAAAUUUGGGGUAAUAGGGGCGAAAGACUAAUCGAACCAUCUAGUAGCUGGUUUCCUGCCGAAG